rnacentral:lncRNA from 1 species
AUAAAAGCGAGUUUAAUAUUUUGUAACUGCAACUGUAUGAUGGUGCUUACAGGAAAUCUUAAUUCCCUUUUGCAAACAAAACUGUUACUACCGAUGCUGCUACCAAAUUGCUGAUGGAGAAGGAAUUGGAAGAAGACAUUGAUCAUUGUGUUGAUGAUGAUGUGCUUCCUUUAGAAACACAGACUGCCCUGAAACGACUGAAAACUUGGAAAAGAGCAUGUAUGAGUGGCGAGAGAUUGUGCGGGCUGGCCAUGUUCAUCGCGAUAAGAAUAUCAGCAGACCAAAUUAUGAUUCUGAAACGAGUUGACUGAACCGGCC